AUGAACGCUAGCUACAGGCUUAACACAUGCAAGUCGAGGGGCAGCAUGGUCUUAGCUUGCUAAGGCCGAUGGCGACCGGCGCACGGGUGAGUAACACGUAUCCAACCUGCCGUCUACUCUUGGACAGCCUUCUGAAAGGAAGAUUAAUACAAGAUGGCAUCAUGAGUCCGCAUGUUCACAUGAUUAAAGGUAUUCCGGUAGACGAUGGGGAUGCGUUCCAUUAGAUAGUAGGCGGGGUAACGGCCCACCUAGUCUUCGAUGGAUAGGGGUUCUGAGAGGAAGGUCCCCCACAUUGGAACUGAGACACGGUCCAAACUCCUACGGGAGGCAGCAGUGAGGAAUAUUGGUCAAUGGGCGAGAGCCUGAACCAGCCAAGUAGCGUGAAGGAUGACUGCCCUAUGGGUUGUAAACUUCUUUUAUAAAGGAAUAAAGUCGGGUAUGUAUACCCGUUUGCAUGUACUUUAUGAAUAAGGAUCGGCUAACUCCGUGCCAGCAGCCGCGGUAAUACGGAGGAUCCGAGCGUUAUCCGGAUUUAUUGGGUUUAAAGGGAGCGUAGAUGGAUGUUUAAGUCAGUUGUGAAAGUUUGCGGCUCAACCGUAAAAUUGCAGUUGAUACUGGAUAUCUUGAGUGCAGUUGAGGCAGGCGGAAUUCGUGGUGUAGCGGUGAAAUGCUUAGAUAUCACGAAGAACUCCGAUUGCGAAGGCAGCCUGCUAAGCUGCAACUGACAUU
rnacentral:rRNA from 1 species